rnacentral:lncRNA from 1 species
UGGGACUUAAGAUAAAAAGCUUCUGUACAGCAAAAGAAACAGUCAACAAAGCUAAAAGACAACUGGAGAAUGGGAGAAGCUAUUUGUAAAUGAUAUAUCAGAUAAAGGGCUAGUAUCCAAGAUCUAUAAGGACUUAUUAAAUGCAUUUUUUAUUUAAAAAUGCUAUCCAUCCAUCCAUCCAUCCAUCCAUCCAUCCAUCCAUCCAUCCCAAAUGUGUUGAAAAGCCAUGGAUUUUUCUUCUUCUUUUGAUAAAAGGAAAAGCAAAACCCUGCCAGAUGUUGGGAGGCAUAGGAACCAAGUGAUUCAAUCAGAAUUCUCCUGUGGGGACAUGGACUCUCUCGGUCAAUGUCACAGAAUGAAAUAGUCUUCAUAUUCACCCAGCAGUGAGUUAUUCCAUCUGGUUGUGGCAAUUAGGAGCUGAGAUGACGGGAAGUUAAAUUACUAUCUUUAUGAAACAAAGCAAAACAGAGAAGGGAACAGCUGGGGGACUGGGUGUCUUGGGGAUGUAGAAUUGGAUCUAGAAUAAAGAAUCUGCUACCUUUAGUUGCUGGUUAUAAUGCCAGUGCAGGUUAAUAUGAAUUGAAGGUUGCUGCCGUGUGAUAGCAGUUAGCUGUCACUUGCCUGAAAUAUGGCCAUGGCAUAUAUAAUACAGUGUGGAUCUAGGUUUUUAGAAUGUAAUGUCCUCCCUAGUUAAGGGUCAAGCUACCAGCUUAAUUAUGCAGCCAAAGGGUCAGUCAUAAGAAUCAUGGGGUCGUAGAACUUCAGCUCUGGAAAGGGCAUUGCUGUCAUGUCCAGACUCUGUGAACUCUCUAAAGUUGUAUAUGUCAUUUCUUUACUUGUGCUAUAUUCUAAGGAAAAGAAUGCAUAGGUUUUAUCAAAUCCCCCUCCAAAUAUUAAAAACUUGAUUUAUACUUUGUCUUUGAAUUGGAUAGGUUUGAACAUAAGAUUUUGCUUGAUCAUUUAUUAGCUAUGUGAUUUUGGGCAAGUAACUUAACUUCUGUAAGACAUGUUAUUCAAAUUUAUACAAUAGGAAGAGCAACAUUAUCUACCUCAUAGAGUUGUUAUGAAGAAAAUUUGAUAUAAUGUGUAUAAAACUUUUACCAUAACAUAUAUUAAGUAUCCAAUAAAUGUUAGCUAUUAUUAAUAUUAUUGAUUAAAAUACUGAGUCCCAGGAAUGUUGAGUGACACCAAAGGUUAAUGGCAGAAAUAGGACUGGGAUCCUGAUAUCCAGUUCACUGCUUUGGCCAUUGGAAAACAUGAUGACCUCAUGUCUUUUCUUCAUCAUUCCCUGCAUGUUUUGGCCGAGCUAGACAGGUAACAUAAGAUGCUGAAAUCAAAUGAUUAGCUUUACCAUUACAUAGCCAAUUGGUCUACUUCUUCAUUUUGGAGCUCUCUUUCAAUAUUCUUUAAAUGUCUUAUCUAAACAGGCAUCUGAAAAGGGCAAUCACAAAGAGCAAGAAGGUCACACUUUGGCUUUGCAGCAUCAUCCACCCACCUUGCCCAAGAACAAACUGUGAGCAAGGUUAGAAGUCUUACUCCUCAUUAGUGAGGGAAAUCUUUUUGAGCAGCCCCUGUGUUGAACAGAUAGAGUAGAUCUAACAAAAAGGAUGACAGAUUAGGAACUGUCUGGUAGCUAAUGUACUGUUUACUGCAGUAUAAAUGACUGGUGUUUGGGAAAUGACAGAUGAAGAGCACAAGUACACUUAAAUGAUUUCCAGAUUUCUGUAGGGAAGGAGGGUCAGGGUUGGCUGAGACGUUGACUGGCAGAGGAGAGUCAUUGGUGGGAAUUUCAGGGAGAUGCAAAGUACAUGGAGAAGAUUUCAGUUUGUCCAUUGAUCCAAAUGCUGCCAAAGCUGUUUUGUCAUAUACAGAAGGUACUGUGAAGGGACACAGUUGUCUUGCUCUUUUUUUCACUGCCUCAUCCACUCCAAAUGAAAUUCUAGUUCCAGUCCAAGUGCAGCAAUCACUCCAGAGCGAAAGCAUAAGAGGUAGGCAUGGAGCUAUCCUCAGCCACAAUGGGAGGUCGCUAGAGGAAGAUGAUAUAGAAAAAAAAAAUGUGUUUUAAAGAAUGCAAGAAAGCAAAAAAACAGGGAAACAAGCAAGAUAAUGGAAAGGAGAGGAAGGAAGGAAGGAAGGAAGGAAGGAAGGAAGGAAGGAAGGAAGGAAGGAAGGAGAAGGAAGGAGGGAAGGAAGGAAAAGAGACAGAGGGAUGGAGAGAAUCCGGCAUGUCAAUUAAUACACAUCUGAUAUAUUCCAAUUGAAUGAAUUUGUGAUGGUCUAACUUGCCCCAAGAGAUCAUAAGAAGCUUACAAUUAAUUUGUAGCUAUUGUAAAACCAUCUAGCAUCCAUUAGCUUGGUUUCAAUAAUAGUAAUGAUUGUGAUAUUAUAAAGCAGGCUGUCAGAUAAUGUUUGCAAACAUAUCAUCAUUGUAACUUAUAUUUACCUUCUGCUUUGUCAGAGGCUUUAUGUUCAUGCAUUCAUUCAUUUUUCCAGCAAAUAUUACUGGAGCAUGUAUUAUGUGCCACUUCUAGAUGUUUGAGAUACAUAAGUGAACAGACAGAAAUACCAGCUCUUGUGGAACUUGCAUAUAAAUUGGAGAGAACAAGUAAUAUAUACAAUCCUAUCAGAUAAGAUAAACUGAUAACAGAUGAUACGAAGGCAACUAUAUCCUUGUAUAGGGCUGGAGAAUGGUAGGGCAGGGGGAAGCAUAUCUGCUCUUUUAAAUAAUUAGGCAGGCAUCUCAGAGGAGGAUUUUUGAGCAGGGGCUAAAAUAAAGGAAUGGUUAAUCUCUGUAGCUAUCCAGGGAGGAGCAUUCCAUCUGAAAGUAACACAAGUGCAAAGGCCCUGAAGUGAGUGAGAGUGGCAUAUUAGAGGGAUGUCAAGGGGACCAAUGUGUCUGGAGAGAAAGAAACAAAUGGGAGAAUAGGAAAAGACAGGUGGACGGGAGGCAGACAAUGUAGGACCUUUGAGUAGAGUAAGUUAUUGUAUGUUUUUUUAAAAGGCAGUGAAAUAAUGUGGUAUUUGCUUUAAAGUAUGGUUCUGGAUGCUGUGCAAACAGAUGGUGGGGAUGGUGGUGAAAGUUGAGAGACCCAUUUGAAGGGUGACAGGUUAGCUGGGCUAGGAAUGCUGGCAACUUGGAUAAGAUGGGAUAUUCUUAGAUUGUGGGUAUAUUUGGAAGGUAAAUCUGAUAAAAUUUGAUUUUGGAUUUGAUGUAAAGGGUGAGAGAAAUUAUAUGUCCUCAUGUUGUUGUUGUUUCAUAUGUCCUUAUGUUCUAAAAAUAUUUGAAGUUCAGUGCUAGGUCUUCAUAAUUUCAUGGGCUUUUCUUAUCAGAGUUUGAGGCAGUCAUAUUCAAUUAUAAAAUUUUAAUUACCCAGAAUUCAUGCGAUGGCCCUUUUGUGGACUAAAUUCCGUCUUACAAAUACGCUAUUUUUGGUUCAGAGUAUUUUAAGUCUUGGAGCCCGCAUUAAAAAAAAAAUCCAGAUAACUGAAUUCUUUUGAGAAACAGUAAGACUUGGGAUGAAGAUCAGAUAUCCCCACAAAGGCCAUUGCUUGCUGGAGCCGGUAGCAUUUGCUGUCUUUUAAGGGGACAAUCCUUCGUUCUUCACUGUUAACCUUUUGAGUUUAUUUCCUUGCCAGUUACCUGGUGGCCCUGAAGGACUUUUAUUCCCUGCCUGCUGCCCUCACCCCCACCCCAUAUUCUGUUGUAGAAAGAGACAUUAGAGACAAUUAUAAAUGCAGUUCCAGUAGAGUCUGAGGUGGAGGACAGAGAAUCCUAUGAUUGUUGUGUGCAAUCUAUAAACCCAUAUGCAAUCCAAGUAUUGUCUGUAAAUCCAAUUAAUAAUACAUAAUCUGUUUUGCAUAAAUUUAGAUAUUAUUUUUUGGAAUGCUAGACUAAUUCCAAAUUAUAAUGAACAAAAGUACAUAUUUGAAUCUUACUAAAUUUUAAUUGUAUUGUCUCAAUUAACAGAUGCUAAAGUACUAAAAGUAUGAUUGCUUUCAAGUGGCUGUGGUUUUUUUUCUUUCUUUCUUUUUUUUUUUUUUAAUCCCUUAAAAAGGGACUCUUAAACUCAGAAAGCUUGGGAACAGCUGUUCUCCUCUGGUCCUCCACUUCACUGAUGACAAAAGGAAAUCCAAACAGGGACAGUUAUGUGAACCAAACCUCUCAGCUGAUUAAUGGUAGCAGGACCCAGACCUCCUAGGGUGCUGCCUGCGGUCACUUUCAGUGCUUGCUCCCAUACCCAAGAGUCAAGAGGAUGGGGAGGGACGAUACCAGAAUCUGACAUGCAAAUUCUCGAUUCUAUUUCAGGGAUGACAAAUUCCUAUUUAGACAUGGAUAGAAAACAUUCUUUCCUUGUGAGAAUACAUUGUAGGGCACGGCUUCUCCGCAGCUACACUGUUGACAUUUUCAGCUAGAUAAUUCUUUGUUUGUGGGAACUGUGUUAUUAUACAUUGCAGGGUUGCAAUUGCAGGAUAUUUAGCCAUUCCCUGGCCUCUACCCACUAGUUCCUUAUAGUACUAACAACCUCCCAGCAGACUAUUGCUGCUUUACCAUAGAUUCAGAGUUCCAGGGAAAGACUUUAAACACAUAGCAGCUGGCACUCUGCUGACCCAGGAGCCAUGCCUGGACACCUGCUCGUGGGCUUUUCCUACCCAUCUGCAAGGGCUCACCCUUGUAGACAUUAACCUACAGCCUCUUCCCAGAGAUUUGUAACUUUCACUAUCCAGUACUUUAUAAGCAUCUCUGUACUUUCUCACUUUCUAGGGACGCUGAUUUCCAAUACCUGAAUACCUCACACGUGUUGGUUUUUUGUCUAUUUCUCCGUUAGGGUGUUGGUUUGCUUGGUGUUUGUUUUUUAACUUAUAGUUGUAGAGUUUCCUCACUUUUUUCUUUCCAUUUCUAUUGCUUUUUGUGGUACUCUCUGUGUCUUCUCGAUCCUUUUUUCAGUGUGGAGUCUUUCUCUGCUUGUAUCAAUAUCUGUCACUUUACCUAGGAUGCUGUUUCAUUUUAGGGCUUAGCCUUCUGGUGUCAAUCUCUUCAAUCUCUGUUGUUCUUUUAAUGGCUGUUUCUGGGUUCUUCCUGGAAAAUUUUUGUAACAGUUUGUCUCUUACUCUGCUUCUCUCGGUAUCUCUCCAGAUCAUUUUUCAUAUCCCACUUCUAACUUUUGGAGGAUGUUGGUAUGUUGACAUGACAUUUUUAUUUGUGAUCAUCUUUUAAUCUCUUUAUGGACCUCUCUUUCAAUUUCUGCCUUCUUUUGGAAAUGGCCCAUCUAUACCAAGUUUCUAUCUGGAUGUCUUUCUCUGGGUAGAAAGUUCCUCAGGCAUGUAAUGGAAACCUUUUACUUCUGUUGAAUGAUAAGCCUAAGGGGAGCAGAGGUAAGGACUUUUCAGUUAACUGCUCAGAGGCAAUUUUUUGUUUUAUUUAAUAGAAUUGAAUUUUUAUAAAAUAUAAAUUUGGAAUAUUAAAUCCAACAAAGAUUAAAUAUUUAACCUUUUAUAAAAUUGGUAUCAUAAAAAUAAGUUUUAAAUGAUCCCACAUCAUAAAGCAAUUAUCUUAGAAACCUAGCAGGCAAUUCAUUUUUGGAAUUAACUCUUUUUCUAAUGCUAGAUGAAAUAAAAUCAAUGAUUUGUAGAGAUGGAUAAGGCGUUUUAGGUGAAAUUUGGGAAUAAGAAAAAUGAGGACUAGGAUUUGGCUAUUUGCAAAGUACCCAUCUUUUUCCUGUUCUUAAAGAAUGCCCAAACCAAGAAUGAGAAUGAAGGUCCUUGUGAGGUUCACAAGGACAGUGAAAACUAUCCAAUCUAUUCAUUUCUGUAAGAAAAUGAGAAUUGUAAUAAACUUGCGAAACAGAUUGGAAUCCAUCUGGUAUAGCCAAAUUAAUCCCCCUUUAAUGAUUGUUUAUACUGUGCAUCCAAAAUCAAAACCAGUGUCGAGAGUUAAUCAAUUAAAAUGUAUUCACUUUCAUUUGCCAAAAUGAGAGGGAAUUGUAAACUGAGUAAAAUUUAUUUUAUAGUAUAAACAUGUUAAAAACAUGCAUCUUCAUUGGACCUUAUGUAUAUUAAUCAAGGUAUAUCUCUAAGAUUUUUGUUGUUAUUGUUUGUUUAAUUGUGGUACAGGAGGAAAAUGUACUGGCUUCUGAGACUGCAGGGCUGUGUUAAGAAUGUUUUAAGGUUUCUGAAACCAAGAACAAAACAAAACAAAACAGGAAAACCAGGAUGGGAUUUUGGAUUUGAUGGAGAAAGCGAAACCAACUAACCAAGGGAAUCAGAUGUUUCUCUACCCUCUGGUUUAGGAUUAAUUUCUUCCAUACCCUCUGUGAACCUCAUUAAUCUUAAUAAUUCAUCAGUACAUCAUUAAAAAGCCAAGUCUAGGCACCUGAUAGUUGGAGGAGGGGAAUACUUGAAUUUUAUAUGGGACAUAUCUCCAAGACCUUGAAGCUUCCUAAAAUUUUGGUGAUUAAGUUGAAUUCAAUUCAAUUCAGUAAAAUUCUGUGCCUCUGAAUAGUCACUGAGUAUUAAUGUCCACCGUCAUUGUACUAGGGAUAGGAAGGAAGAUAUUAUUAAGAUCCUGCUAUUACCUAGCUCUUAGCUUAUUAUCAUCAGAUGUUACUGCUUCAGCUAAUAAUGUUUCUACCAUAAACAGAACUGACCCAAAGUGGCAAAAAAAUAUGUGUAUACUGUGAGACCAUGCUCUAACCUGAGGAUGCCUUAGAGAGGAAAGUGGUAUCUGCCAAUCUCCUUGUUCUGUUAACCCCACAUGAUAUUUUUAAAAUAUACCUGCUUAGGACUGAUUUACAGGCCUUCACUCUUCCCUCAUUUUUUUUUUCUUCUCUUCCCUCAUUUAAAUGCAUUCUCUAGUCUGCAGCGAACUCUGAUAUUUUGUGAGCUUUAGUAGCAACAAGUUGGUUAAAGCUAAUCAAUGGUUCCUCAUUUUUUUCAGGAUAAAAUCUAUGCUCUCAUGCAUGAUAUUUGGGACAUUUUUUUUUUCUAUCUGAUACUUAUCUUGAGAGGCAGUAUGGUAUGCAGUAGGAGGAAAGCAAGCACUAGUGUUUGGGUUCAAAUCCUAUCUUCCCUUCUUUCUGUCCUUGUCCCUCUGAACACGUGAUAUUACCUCUGUUGCUCAGUUAUUUCAUCUGUGAAAUGGGAAUGAUAAUGUCACCUGCUUCAUAGGCUUGCUGUUAAUGAAAGCUGUAAGGUGAUUUGUAGAGAAACAGUAAGCUUAGAUAAAUGUUAAUUAUUAUUAUCAUUAUUCUAACAUGUAAAGACUUCUUUCACACCUAGCUUCUCUCACUCUCCCCUGCAUUGCUCUGAGUUCCCAGAACCUGGGCAUACUGUUCCCUUUCUUCUCUUCACUUGGCUUAACUCCUACUUGACCUUCAGAACUCAGACUUUUGACUCUGCCAGAAAUCAGUUUUACUACAUUCCUGCACUGUAGGAUAGGUGCCCUCUUAGGUGCUGAGUUAACCUCUGUCAUAACAUUUUGCACUUAUAUUUACCUGUUUAGUUCUCUGUUUUUCCUCCCACAAUACAUACACCUCGAGGGCAGAAAUUCUGCUUUAUUCAUCUUUGUAGAUGUAGCCCCUGGCACAGUGCUUGGCUCAUAGAAUGUGUUCAGGAAACCUUCCUCCACAAACAAACCUAAAGUGAGAGUCCACUCAAAGGAGUAACCUGCAGUAAGUUAUGUGACUAAAUAUCUGAAUGCUAGAGGCAUAUGCGUUUUAAGAGUAGGCAGGGGUUUCUGUGGAAUACUGGUAUCCUUCAGAUGUUCAUAGGUUUAUGUGGAAUGAUGAGUACAUGAUCAAGGAAGGUAAGGAAUUGUGAAUAUAUCACUCCUAAAGAGUUGCAUUUUUGAUUAGCACAGUUCUAACUGCAGUGAAGAAGCAUGCACAACCUAGAGUUUCUCAAAUAUUUGAAAGUAUGGAACCCACCUUUGUUAGUAUAUUGAGAAACCCAACUGUAGUGCCCUAAGGAAUACAGGCUGCUUUAGCUAUUACAACCUGGUCUCAUAUAAUAUUUCUACAUCUCCCUCCAGAGGCAUUUUCUGAGCAAAGAACAUUGGGAAUAGUGCCUUGGUCUAUUUAUUUUUAUUUUUCAAAAAAAAAUUAUUUAUUUAUUUAUUUAUUUGAGAGAGAGAGAGAGAGAGAGAGUGCAAGAGCACAUGAGUGUUGUGGGGUGCGGGGGAUGCGGAAAGAGAGGGAGAGAGAAAAACUUUAGCAGACUACACCCUGAGCACAGAGUCCCAUGCAGGGGUCCCAUGACCUUGAGAACAUGACCUGAGCUGUAACUGAGAGUUGGAGGCUUGACUGUUGACACACUUGAUGGUGUCCCAGGAAUAGUGUGCUUAAAAAUAAAGGCAAGGGGCACCUGGGUGGCUCAGCUGGUUAAGCAUCCAACUCUCAGUUACAGCUCAGGUCUUGAUGUCAGGGUUGUGAGUUCAAGCCCCACAUUGGACUCCACAUUGGGCUCCAUACUGGAUAUGGACUCUACUUAAAGAAA